UGUUGGGUUAAGUCCCGCAACGAGCGCAACCCUCGUCCUAUGUUGCCAGCACGUUAAGGUGGGAACUCAUGGGAUACUGCCGGGGUCAACUCGGAGGAAGGUGGGGAUGACGUCAAAUCAUCAUGCCCCUUAUGUCUUGGGCUUCACGCAUGCUACAAUGGCCGGUACAGAGGGCAGCAAUACCGCAAGGUGGAGCGAAUCCCAAAAAGCCGGUCUCAGUUCGGAUUGAGGUCUGCAACUCGACCUCAUGAAGUCGGAGUCGCUAGUAAUCGCGAAUCAGCAACGUCGCGGUGAAUACGUUCCCGGGCCUUGUACACACCGCCCGUCACACCAUGGGAGUGGAUUGCACCAGAAGUGGUUAGUCUAACCUUCGGGGGGACGAUCACCACGGUGUGGUUCAUGACUGGGGUGAAGUCGUAACAAGGUAGCCCUAGGGGAA
rnacentral:rRNA from 14 species